ACCGAGGUACAAACGAAAAAGAGAUAGAAGAAAACAUAGAGGCAAGAGUGUUGAUGUCGAAAAGAAGACCGAAGAUCUCCUUGAUCGUCUCCUGCAGAUUAAUAGCUCAGAUCAGGUCCUGAGCGUCAGAUUUCCGGUGGAUUUGCGUGAAUCCCUUGCCGAGGCAGUAAUCCAAGGCAGAUCGUAUGGCUAGAGCUUCGGCCAUGAGUGGUGAGAGGACGUUUGGUUCUGAGGUGCAACCUUUACCCAUUUCGGAGCCUCUAUUGUCGAAGAUUAUCCAUCCGAGACCUGCAGAGCUUGGAUCGGAUCUCCAAGCCGCAUCAGUGAAGCAGGUGUGAAUGCUCUAUCUUCAAAUAGGAGGUGGUUGCGUGCAGAGCAGAUGGCCCAACAGACCCAUGGAAGAAUUGGUCCCGAUCCCACUCCCGAUGGGGGUAGACAGACCAUGAACUUAGAUCCCAUUAGGCCUGUCUCGAAGAAAGAAAUCCUGGUUGGUUCGAGCUGAUCUCGAAGAGGAAUCAGGGACCAAACCUUACGUGCAAAGGAACAGUGGAAGAACAAAUGUUCCGCUGAUUCGAGAUCUGCACAGAAAGGGCAUCCUGAGUCCACUUGGAGACCUCAGUUGAGGAGGUUUUCGCCUAAAGUUAAGAGAUGGGUGUAGAAUUUGAUGUGGAGUCUCACUAAUUUGAGGUAUACUCUCCUGAUUUGGUCGGAAGCCAGAUGAAGCGGUCCUCAGCACCGUUGGAGCUUGGUCUGAGGCAUAGGAUUUUGUCAGCAUAGGCCGGUAAGGUAUCCUUGACUUUAUCUUCCUUCCAGGACCCAUUCUCAUUGAUAAGUUCAGAGACUGUCCAGUCUUUAGAUGCGAGAGUGGGAGGACCAACAGGCCAUGAAGGGGAGGUCAAGGAUAGCCAAGGGUCAUUCCAUAAAGAGGAUGCCUCGCCAGCCAUGGGAAGUAGAUGAGGUAAUAGGUGUUUCCAGGAUCGAUUUGUCCUUGCAAUAUUUCCCUAGAAGCACUUGAUUCAGGAGGCUGGAUGGGUUCUUGAUGAUUCUCCAGGCUAGUUUAACUAAUAGCUGGUGGGUAACUUGAAGCAAGACAUGGAGUUGUGUUGGAAUGGCGGAGAGCACAGACUUGAUCAUCGUCAAUUUCCAGGCGACAAUUUUUUCGAAGACCAGCUGGCCGCUUUGUGUCUGAUACGAUUCACCAACAUAGUAAAGAGGUCUUUCUUUCGUCUUCCAAAACCCUCGGGUAUGGAUUUAGACGUUAGUAAACUAUUGGUAUAAAUAUUAGAAUACUCUGUUUUGACAGAAUCUUCCAGGCAUACAGUACCUGGAUACAACCAUCAAUUAAUCUUGUUAGUUGCAUACAUGUAGUGGUCCAGUGGAUUGGUUGAAGGAAAACCAGAGACUAUAGUCGAUCCUUUUUUUAUAGAAAUCCAAGAGACAAGAUCAUGAAGUUGUUCAAGAGAAUGCAUCAACGAGACCAGCCAUGAGCUCUGUAAUAGUUUGGCCUCUUAGUGAGACUAUCACUAAAGCUUUACCUAAGGCUUCAACUUUCACUGGAAGUCAAUCUCAUUCUGAAAAUGGUACUCUAUGUCAAUGAGUAAUAAUGUCUUCACAGAGUUGAGUUGUCAUGAAGUUAUAUAAAUCAGUUAAUCAGAAUGUUAAAGUAGAAUUAGAAACAUUGUAUGUGUCAUCUAAAAAAAAUCAAACAGUAAUGGAAUGCAUGAUUCCUCCCAUUCUUGUAAUCCUAAACUUGUAG